UACGUAGGGGGCAAGCGUUGUCCGGAAUCAUUGGGCGUAAAGAGCGUGUAGGCGGUCCGGUAAGUCGGCUGUGAAAGUCCAGGGCUCAACCCUGGAAUGCCGGUGGAAACUGCCGGGCUCGAGUCCGGGAGAGGAUAGUGGAAUUCCUGGUGUAGCGGUGAAAUGCGUAGAUAUCAGGAGGAACACCGGUGGUGUAGACGGCUACCUGGACCGUAACUGACGCUGGAGGCACGGAAAGCCGUGGGUAGCAAACAGG
rnacentral:rRNA from 1 species